AUUGAACGCUGGCGGCAGGCCUAACACAUGCAAGUCGAACGAGUGGCGGACGGGUGAGUAAUGUCUGGGAAACUGCCCGAUGGAGGGGGAUAACUACUGGAAACGGUAGCUAAUACCGCAUACCAUCGGAUGUGCCCAGAUGGGAUUAGCUAGUAGGUGGGGUAACGGCUCACCGAGGCGACGAUCCCUAGCUGGUCUGAGAGGAUGACCAGCCACACUGGAACUGAGACACGGUCCAGACUCAUACGUGAGGCAGCAGUGGGGAAUAUUGCGCAAUGGGCGCAAGACUGAUGCAGCCAUGCCGCGUGUAUUAAGAAGGCUGUCGGGUUGUAAAGUACUUUCAGCGAGGAAGCGUUACUCGAAGAAGAAGCGCCAGCUAACUCCGUGCCAGCCGCCGCGGUAAUUC
rnacentral:rRNA from 1 species